CACCAAUGGAGGGAGCAUUUAAGCCAGGCUUAGCCAGAGGAAAAUCCCUGAUCCCAGCGGUUGAAACUUGAGUUCCUGCAAACCUUGCCAGUGAGGGCUACAGUACUCUGGUUUUUCAAGUUUUAAGGAUGCUUCCUUUCAUCAUGAAAAGAACUUGAGGAGGGGUCCUGAGUCCUCCACCCCAGGUGAAGAAGACUGCAUUGUGACUCAAGUCCAAUCACCUGUACCUGCACCUGUCCUCACACAGCAAUGACCCAGAGCUGCAGGUGGAAUUCUACACUGGGACAAAUGAGGACUCAGACAUCGCCUUCCAUUUCUGAGUGCACUUUGGCCAUUGUCUGGCCAUUGACAGACAUGUGUGUAGGGCCUGGAAGUGUGAGGGGAGAUGCCACAAUGUGCCCUUUUAGGAUGGCAAGCCAUUUGAUCUGAGCAUCUUGGUGCUGGACAAUGAAUACCAGGUAAUAAUAAAUAGCCAACACUGUUGCAGCUUUGUCCAUAACUCCCACCAUGUUCUGUGAAGAUGGUGCAAGUGUGGAGAGAUGUCUCCCUGACCUCAAUGUCUGUCUGCAGUUGAUGCAGAUGAUCACACUCCUCAUUGUUGAGGAAUCCCUCUUUCUAUGUGACCAUAGGAUUUCCAGAGCCUACUAACAGCAUGAUCUCUCCUCACCGUUUCUGCUACACUUGGUCAUUAAAACAUCACCAAACUAC